rnacentral:rRNA from 1 species
AUUGAACGCUGGCGGCAGGCCUAACACAUGCAAGUCGAGCGGAGCGGCGGACGGGUGCGUAAGGCCUAGGAAUCAGCCUGGUAGUGGGGGAUAACGUACGGAAACGGGAGCUAAUACCGCAUACUAUCAGAUGAGCCAAGGGCGGAUUAGCUAGUUGGUGGGGUAAAGGCCUACCAGGGCGACGAUCCGUAACUGGUAUGAGAGGAUGAGCAGUCACACUGGAACUGAGAAACGGUCCAGACUCCUACGGGAGUCAGCAGUGGGGAAUAUUGGACAAUGGGCGAAAGCCUGCUCCAGCCAUGCCGCGUGGUUGAAGAAGGUCUUCGGAUUGUAAAGCACUUUAAGUUGGGAGGCGUUACCAACAGAAUAAGCACCGGCUAACUUCGUGCCAGCAGCCGCGGUAAUAC